UACGUAGGGGGCGAGCGUUGUCCGGAUUUAUUGGGCGUAAAGAGCGUGUAGGCGGCCAGGUAGGUCUGCUGUGAAAACUCGAGGCUCAACCUCGAGACGUCGGCGGAAACCAUCUGGCUAGAGUCCGGAAAAGGAGAGUGGAAUUCCUGGUGUAGCGGUGAAAUGCGCAGAUAUCAGGAAGAACACCCGUGGCGAAGGCGGCUCUCUGGGACGGUACUGACGCUGAGACGCGAAAGCGUGGGGAGCGAACAGG
rnacentral:rRNA from 1 species